GACGAACGCUGGCGGCGUGCCUAAUACAUGCAAGUAGAACGCUGAAGAGAGGAGCUUGCUCCUCUUGGAUGAGUUGCGAACGGGUGAGUAACGCGUAGGUAACCUGCCUUGUAGCGGGGGAUAACUAUUGGAAACGAUAGCUAAUACCGCAUAACAAUGGAUGACACAUGUCAUUUAUUUGAAAGGGGCAAUUGCUCCACUACAAGAUGGACCUGCGUUGUAUUAGCUAGUAGGUGAGGUAACGGCUCACCUAGGCGACGAUACAUAGCCGACCUGAGAGGGUGAUCGGCCACACUGGGACUGAGACACGGCCCAGACUCCUACGGGAGGCAGCAGUAGGGAAUCUUCGGCAAUGGGGGCAACCCUGACCGAGCAACGCCGCGUGAGUGAGGAAGGUUUUCGGAUCGUAAAGCUCUGUUGUAAGUCAAGAACGAGUGUGAGAGUGGAAAGUUCACACUGUGACGGUAGCUUACCAGAAAGGGAC
rnacentral:rRNA from 1 species